rnacentral:tRNA from 1 species
GCGGGCGUGGUGGAAUGGCAGACACGCGUGGUUUAGGACCACGUGGGGCAACCCGUACAGGUUCAAGUCCUGUCGCCCGCACCA